rnacentral:rRNA from 1 species
CCUACGGGUGGCAGCAGUGGGGGAUAUUGCACAAUGGGGGAAACCCUGAUGCAGCGACGCCGCGUGUGGGAAGACGGUCCUCUGGAUUGUAAACCACUGUCCCCAGGGACGAAGAUGACGGUACCUGGGGAGGAAGCUCCGGCUAACUACGUGCCAGCAGCCGCGGUAAUACGUAGGGGGCAAGCGUUAUCCGGAUUUACUGGGUGUAAAGGGGGCGCAGACGGCGAUGCAAGCCAGGAGUGAAAGCCCGGGGCCCAACCCCGGGACUGCUCUUGGAACUGCGUGGCUGGAGUGCAGGAGGGGCAGGCGGAAUUCCUGGUGUAGCGGUGAAAUGCGUAGAUAUCAGGAGGAACACCGGUGGCGAAGGCGGCCUGCUGGACUGCAACUGACGUUGAGGCCCGAAAGCGUGGGGAGCAAACAGGAUUAGAUACCCGGGUAGUC